AUGAACGCUGGCGGCGCGCCUAACACAUGCAAGUCGAACGGCACCCCUCUCCGGAGGGAAGCGAGUGGCGAACGGCUGAGUAACACGUGGAGAACCUGCCCCCUCCCCCGGGAUAGCCGCCCGAAAGGACGGGUAAUACCGGAUACCCCCGGGCGCCGCAUGGCGCCCGGGCUAAAGCCCCGACGGGAGGGGAUGGCUCCGCGGCCCAUCAGGUAGACGGCGGGGUGACGGCCCACCGUGCCGACAACGGGUAGCCGGGUUGAGAGACCGACCGGCCAGAUUGGGACUGAGACACGGCCCAGACUCCUACGGGAGGCAGCAGUGGGGAAUCUUGCGCAAUGGGGGGAACCCUGACGCAGCGACGCCGCGUGCGGGACGGAGGCCUUCGGGUCGUAAACCGCUUUCAGCAGGGAAGAGUCAAGACUGUACCUGCAGAAGAAGCCCCGGCUAACUACGUGCCAGCAGCCGCGGUAAUACGUAGGGGGCGAGCGUUAUCCGGAUUCAUUGGGCGUAAAGCGCGCGUAGGCGGCCCGGCAGGCCGGGGGUCGAAGCGGGGGGCUCAACCCCCCGAAGCCCCCGGAACCUCCGCGGCUUGGGUCCGGUAGGGGAGGGUGGAACACCCGGUGUAGCGGUGGAAUGCGCAGAUAUCGGGUGGAACACCGGUGGCGAAGGCGGCCCUCUGGGCCGAGACCGACGCUGAGGCGCGAAAGCUGGGGGAGCGAACAGGAUUAGAUACCCUGGUAGUCCCAGCCGUAAACGAUGGGCGCUAGGUGUGGGGGGACGAUCCCCCCGUGCCGCAGCCAACGAAUUAAGCGUCCCGCCUGGGGAGUACGGCCGCAAGGCUAAAACUCAAAGGAAUUGACGGGGGCCCGCACAAGCAGCGGAGCAUGUGGCUUAAUUCGAAGCAACGCGAAGAACCUUACCAGGUCUUGACAUCCUUUGACCACUCUAGAGAUAGAGCUUCCCCUUCGGGGGCAAAGUGACAGGUGGUGCAUGGUUGUCGUCAGCUCGUGUCGUGAGAUGUUGGGUUAAGUCCCGCAACGAGCGCAACCCUUAUCUUUAGUAGCCAGCGGUUCGGCCGGGCACUCUAGAGAGACUGCCAGGGAUAACCUGGAGGAAGGCGGGGAUGACGUCAAAUCAUCAUGCCCCUUAUGCCCUGGGCCACACACGUGCUACAAUGGCCGGUACAGAGAGAAGCAAUCCCGUGAGGAGGAGCAAAUCUCACAAAGCCGGUCUCAGUUCGGAUUGGAGUCUGCAACCCGACUCCAUGAAGCUGGAUUCGCUAGUAAUCGCGCAUCAGCCAUGGCGCGGUGAAUACGUUCCCGGGCCUUGUACACACCGCCCGUCACACCAUGGGAGUGGGUUGCAAAAGAAGUAGGUAGCUUAACCUUCGGGAGGGCGCUUACCACUUUGUGAUUCAUGACUGGGGUG
rnacentral:rRNA from 1 species